UUAGUUACAGUAAUACCUAUCCUGGUCCAGCCAGCCUGCAGUACUUCUCUGGGGAAGAUCUAGACAGGGACACACGGCUAAGAAUGCAGCAGGGGCAGUUCAGGUACAACUUGGAAAGGCAGCAGCAGGAGCAACAGCAAGCCAAGGUUGAUGAGAAUUAUGCAGCCUACUGAAGAUGAACCAUCUCUUUCAUGUCUACCCAUCUCCCAGUUGCAUAGUACAGUGUCUGACAGGUCUUAGGAACAGCAAGGAGCUCAGU
rnacentral:sRNA from 1 species